rnacentral:rRNA from 1 species
UUAAGCGAUUAAGCGUACACGGUGGAUGCCCUGGCAGUCAGAGGCGAUGAAGGACGUGCUAAUCUGCGAUAAGCGUCGGUGAGGUGAUAUGAACCGUUAUAACCGGCGAUUUCCGAAUGGGGAAACCCAGUGUGUUUCGACACACUAUCAUUAACUGAAUCCAUAGGUUAAUGAGGCGAACCGGGGGAACUGAAACAUCUAAGUACCCCGAGGAAAAGAAAUCAACCGAGAUUCCCCCAGUAGCGGCGAGCGAACGGGGAGGAGCCCAGAGCCUGAAUCAGUGUGUGUGUUAGUGGAAGCGUCUGGAAAGGCGUGCGAUACAGGGUGACAGCCCCGUACACAAAAAUGCACAUAUUGUGAGCUCGAUGAGUAGGGCGGGACACGUGGUAUCCUGUCUGAAUAUGGGGGGACCAUCCUCCAAGGCUAAAUACUCCUGACUGACCGAUAGUGAACCAGUACCGUGAGGGAAAGGCGAAAAGAACCCCGGCGAGGGGAGUGAAAAAGAACCUGAAACCGUGUACGUACAAGCAGUGGGAGCCUCUUAAUGGGGUGACUGCGUACCUUUUGUAUAAUGGGUCAGCGACUUAUAUUCUGUAGCAAGGUUAACCGAAUAGGGGAGCCGAAGGGAAACCGAGUCUUAACUGGGCGUUAAGUUGCAGGGUAUAGACCCGAAACCCGGUGAUCUAGCCAUGGGCAGGUUGAAGGUUGGGUAACACUAACUGGAGGACCGAACCGACUAAUGUUGAAAAAUUAGCGGAUGACUUGUGGCUGGGGGUGAAAGGCCAAUCAAACCGGGAGAUAGCUGGUUCUCCCCGAAAGCUAUUUAGGUAGCGCCUCGUGAAUUCAUCUCCGGGGGUAGAGCACUGUUUCGGCAAGGGGGUCAUCCCGACUUACCAACCCGAUGCAAACUGCGAAUACCGGAGAAUGUUAUCACGGGAGACACACGGCGGGUGCUAACGUCCGUCGUGAAGAGGGAAACAACCCAGACCGCCAGCUAAGGUCCCAAAGUCAUGGUUAAGUGGGAAACGAUGUGGGAAGGCCCAGACAGCCAGGAUGUUGGCUUAGAAGCAGCCAUCAUUUAAAGAAAGCGUAAUAGCUCACUGGUCGAGUCGGCCUGCGCGGAAGAUGUAACGGGGCUAAACCAUGCACCGAAGCUGCGGCAGCGACACUAUGUGUUGUUGGGUAGGGGAGCGUUCUGUAAGCCUGUGAAGGUGGCCUGUGAGGGUUGCUGGAGGUAUCAGAAGUGCGAAUGCUGACAUAAGUAACGAUAAAGCGGGUGAAAAGCCCGCUCGCCGGAAGACCAAGGGUUCCUGUCCAACGUUAAUCGGGGCAGGGUGAGUCGACCCCUAAGGCGAGGCCGAAAGGCGUAGUCGAUGGGAAACAGGUUAAUAUUCCUGUACUUGGUGUUACUGCGAAGGGGGGACGGAGAAGGCUAUGUUGGCCGGGCGACGGUUGUCCCGGUUUAAGCGUGUAGGCUGGUUUUCCAGGCAAAUCCGGAAAACCAAGGCUGAGGCGUGAUGACGAGGCACUACGGUGCUGAAGCGACAAAUGCCCUGCUUCCAGGAAAAGCCUCUAAGCAUCAGGUAACAUCAAAUCGUACCCCAAACCGACACAGGUGGUCAGGUAGAGAAUACCAAGGCGCUUGAGAGAACUCGGGUGAAGGAACUAGGCAAAAUGGUGCCGUAACUUCGGGAGAAGGCACGCUGAUAUGUAGGUGAAGCGACUUGCUCGUGGAGCUGAAAUCAGUCGAAGAUACCAGCUGGCUGCAACUGUUUAUUAAAAACACAGCACUGUGCAAACACGAAAGUGGACGUAUACGGUGUGACGCCUGCCCGGUGCCGGAAGGUUAAUUGAUGGGGUUAGCGGCAACGCGAAGCUCUUGAUCGAAGCCCCGGUAAACGGCGGCCGUAACUAUAACGGUCCUAAGGUAGCGAAAUUCCUUGUCGGGUAAGUUCCGACCUGCACGAAUGGCGUAAUGAUGGCCAGGCUGUCUCCACCCGAGACUCAGUGAAAUUGAACUCGCUGUGAAGAUGCAGUGUACCCGCGGCAAGACGGAAAGACCCCGUGAACCUUUACUAUAGCUUGACACUGAACAUUGAGCCUUGAUGUGUAGGAUAGGUGGGAGGCUUUGAAGUGUGGACGCCAGUCUGCAUGGAGCCGACCUUGAAAUACCACCCUUUAAUGUUUGAUGUUCUAACGUUGGCCCGUAAUCCGGGUUGCGGACAGUGUCUGGUGGGUAGUUUGACUGGGGCGGUCUCCUCCUAAAGAGUAACGGAGGAGCACGAAGGUUGGCUAAUCCUGGUCGGACAUCAGGAGGUUAGUGCAAUGGCAUAAGCCAGCUUGACUGCGAGCGUGACGGCGCGAGCAGGUGCGAAAGCAGGUCAUAGUGAUCCGGUGGUUCUGAAUGGAAGGGCCAUCGCUCAACGGAUAAAAGGUACUCCGGGGAUAACAGGCUGAUACCGCCCAAGAGUUCAUAUCGACGGCGGUGUUUGGCACCUCGAUGUCGGCUCAUCACAUCCUGGGGCUGAAGUAGGUCCCAAGGGUAUGGCUGUUCGCCAUUUAAAGUGGUACGCGAGCUGGGUUUAGAACGUCGUGAGACAGUUCGGUCCCUAUCUGCCGUGGGCGCUGGAGAACUGAGGGGGGCUGCUCCUAGUACGAGAGGACCGGAGUGGACGCAUCACUGGUGUUCGGGUUGUCAUGCCAAUGGCACUGCCCGGUAGCUAAAUGCGGAAGAGAUAAGUGCUGAAAGCAUCUAAGCACGAAACUUGCCCCGAGAUGAGUUCUCCCUGACUCCUUGAGAGUCCUGAAGGAACGUUGAAGACGACGACGUUGAUAGGCCGGGUGUGUAAGCGCAGCGAUGCGUUGAGCUAACCGGUACUAAUGAACCGUGAGGCUUAACCUU